rnacentral:lncRNA from 1 species
CGACAGCCCACAGUCCUUCGGGUCACUGCCACAUUGCACCGUCGUGUAAUACUCAGCCAUAGGACAUGACCCCGUUCGUUUGAGUCUUCCCGAUCCAGCGAAUAAGGGGUUUCCUUGAACCCGCCGGGUACAAGGUCUGAAGGAACACUAACUCACCCCAAUAUGCCUAGCAUUGUGGGUUACACAAAUGCUGUCGGCCAAUAUACGAUUAAUACUAAACCCGGUAAAAAUAACACAAGGUUCCUAGUAUUAAUCACCACACAAUCAACACAUUCCACCUCAAACAUGCCUAGCAUUGUGGGUUACACAAAUGCUACAUGGCCAAAAUAUGAUUAAUACUAAACCCGGUAAAAAUAACACAAGGUUCCUAAUAUUAAUCACAAAUUAACACAAUCAAUCAUAUUCCAGAAUCUAGCAUAAAGAUUAAUUCCAGAAUACCUAACUAUCCACAACUUAGCGAUAUCAUCUAACCAAUCAAUCUAACCAUUAGCAUGCUACUACGACUCUCAAACAAUAACAAGCAUGCCAUCAACUCAAUCAACAUAACCUCAAUUAUUCAAACCGUUACUCAGUUAGACCCGGCCACCGGCCAUGAUCCAACUUCCAAGUAACGGGACCCU